rnacentral:tRNA from 1 species
AUUUAUAUAAUAUAAAAAGUAUAGUUGAUUUCCAAUCAAAAAGUCUAAAAUUUAGUAUAAAUA